GCUAGGCACAGUGGUGUGUGCCUAUAAUCCCAGCCACUUGGGAAGCUGGAGUGGGAGGAUCAUUUGAGGCCAGGAGUUCAAGGCUGCAGUGCACUGUGCUCCACACCUGUGAAUAGCCACUGCAUUCCAGCCUGGGCAAGACAGUGAGACUCCAUCUCUU
ensembl:misc_RNA Metazoa_SRP Metazoan signal recognition particle RNA